rnacentral:rRNA from 1 species
UAGGGAAUAUUGCGCAAUGGGGGAAACCCUGACGCAGCGACGCCGCGUGAGUGAUGAAGGCCUUCGGGUCGUAAAGCUCUGUUGCAGGGGAAUAAAAAAAUGAAUGUACCCUGUGAGGAAGGAUCGGCUAACUUCGUGCCAGCAGCCGCGGUAAGACGAGGGAUCCUAGCGUUGCUCGGAAUCAUUGGGCGUAAAGCGGGUGUAGGUGGCUUUGUAAGUCAGGUGUGAAAGCCCAGGGCUCAACCCUGGAAGUGCAUUUGAUACUGCGAAGCUUGAGUGUUGGAGAGGUCAUCGGAAUACCUGGUGUAGUGGUGAAAUACGUAGAUAUCAGGUGGAACACCGGAGGCGAAGGCGGGUGACUGGCCAAACACUGACACUGAGACCCGAAAGCGUGGGGAUCAAACAGGAUUAGAUACCCCCGUAGUCC